rnacentral:rRNA from 1 species
UGAGGAAUAUUGGUCAAUGGGCGAGAGCCUGAACCAGCCAAAUCGCGUGAAGGAAGACUGCCUUAUGGGUUGUAAACUUCUUUUAUACAGGAAUAAAAAAGGGGACGUGUCCCUUACUGCAUGUACUGUAUGAAUAAGCAUCGGCUAACUCCGUGCCAGCAGCCGCGGUAAUACGGAGGAUGCGAGCGUUAUCCGGAUUUAUUGGGUUUAAAGGGUGCGCAGGCGGGCUUUUAAGUCAGCGGUGAAAUCUCGGGGCUUAACUCCGAAACUGCCGUUGAAACUGGGAGUCUUGAGUAUGGAUGAAGUAGGCGGAAUUCGUUGUGUAGCGGUGACAUGCUUAGAUAUAACGAGGAACUCCGAUUGCGUAGGCAGCUUACUAAGCCAUAACUGACGCUCAAGCACGAAAGCGUGGGGAUCAAACAGGAUUAGAUACCCCUGGUAGUCCACGCCGUAAACGAUGAUUACUAGUUGUAUGCGAUAUACCGUAUGUGACUAAGCGAAAGCGAUAAGUAAUCCACCUGGGGAGUACGCCGGCAACGGUGAAACUCAAAUGAAUUGACGGGGUCAUAGCUGUUUCCUG